UUCAUCCUGAGACGUGUGUGAGGACCCAGAACCCGGGUUAGAACCCCAGUGUGGGUCCUCACAGAAACGGAAGGACCGAUCUAUCCGCUCCACCUUAAAUCUGCACGCGUCGGUGUCACGUGACCAUGUUCUUAGAAAGUUCUUGGAAACCUGGUGUUGUUUAUGGAGAUCUGGAUCAUGCUCCACACUCGUUGCCAGGUUCACGGACUGGUGCGGCUACUGCAGAGCUUCGUGACGAAUUGACGGAUCUGAUCCACGAACAGACCUGCGUGGCUUUCCUUCACCCGCCAUUAGUGAUUCUAGGAAGAAGCCGGAGCCAGGAGCGAACCCAUCCGGUCCGAUCCGAUCCUGCGGUUCGUGGAGGAGAAAUCACAGCUUUUAAAGAGCGGCUGGACUCGGAACCUCCCCAGUCAGUUGGGUCCACUUCGAUCCGCAUGUCACCUUCCGGUAGCAUGAAGACGGGUUUUCAGGUUUUGCUGUUUUCCUGCAUGUCCGAGCUGUAGGCUGAAGAUUGGAUCUGUCCGAUGACCUGCCAGUCCUCUGAAUCCCCCGAAGCCAUUGAGGAUGACAGAAGAGCCGACGACGGCGCCAGAACCGAGGAGUCGGAUGAGAGCCGCGUUGCCUGGGCCAUGAAGGAGCUCAGGAAAACAGGUUGGUACUGGGGCAGCUUGACUGCUAACGAGGCCAAAGAGAUCCUGCAGGACUCCUCGGAGGGCACCUUCCUGCUCCGGGAUAGCUCUCAGGUGGAUUACCUGUUCACCAUCUCCACCAUGACGUCGGCAGGUCCCACCAACCUGCGGAUCGAGUUCAGACACGGAAAGUUCAAGCUGGACUCUGUGGUCCUGGUCAAGCCCAAGCUGAAGCAGUUCGACAGCGUGGUGCACCUGGUGGAGCACUACGUCCAGCUGUCCAGGACCACCAGCAAGGCCACCACGGCGACGGCGGGUCCCAAUGGCACCGUGCAGCUGCUCCUCACUAAACCCGUGUACACCACCACGCCAUCGCUGCAGCACCUCUGUCGCAUCAUCAUCAACAGGACGGCUCAGAGCGUCCAGGAUCUGCCCAUCCCCAGCCGACUGAAGGACUACAUGACAGACUACACCUACAACUUGUAGAGGACAUUUCGUCACACUUCAGCAGCACAUCCAGACCAUCCGUGUGUUUCUGCAUGGAAGCAGGAAACAAUCCGACGCCUGGUUUCCUCUUUCAUCUCCACGAUAACGAGGCAGAAUUCCUCUUAAUAUUCUGGAGGUUCCUCAACAAGUUUCCAGAUUCCUGACAUCUGAUCAGGAAAACUGAUGGAUGGAUCGAUUGUUGGAGCUUUAACUGAAACCCAUAGGGACUCUGCAGAUGCAGGUGUCAGGUUGAGGGUUGGAGCAGCAGGUCCAGGUGAGGCUGUCAGAUUCCCAGAUCCUCGCUGCUGAGAGCUUCCAGAUUGGGUGUAAAAUAUUUAUUUACGUUCAUUAAAAUGUUCCACUGAUUGAGGAUCGUUUAAUGUCCUUACCAAGAUCUCCUCUGCAGAAUUUAGACAGAGAGACGUCUCCUGAUGAUCUAAAGAUCUAAAGAAACCAGUUGGCUCACUGGACACGUCUCUGUCUCUGCUGUCUCUGUACCUGCUGACUGUCUCCUACAGUAUUAUUUGCCUUCAUCAGUGUUCAGUUCAUCAUCUCAGCUCCAAAUUCAGCCUCAGCCUGACUAGCACCACGGUUCAUCAAACUGGGACUCAGCAGAACCAUCCAGCUGAUUUAUUACUGUUCAGGACUUGUAAGGUCAUGUAAAUAUGUAAAGCUGAUUGUGUGCAACUCUGAGGAUCAACUGAUUGAAAAACUGUUUCUGAUCCUGCAUCCCAUAAUUCCUUCAGUAAAGUUUAUGACCAGACCUGAACCUGAACUUUAACCUGAACUUAAACUUAAACCUGAACCUCAAGGUUUUUCAUCCCACUCGGGCCCCUGGUAAACAGCAGGAAUGAAGCUCUCUGAUUGGCCGAUGGAUGGCCGUGACUCAUCGUCAGGCUGUCAGUGACAUACACAGACGUCCUCUGAUGUGUCGAUGCUGACAAACUUCAGACUCAUGGAUUGAGUGAAGAGGUCAGUUUAACCUGUCCAGGCUUCUGUAGACUUUGAACUUGUCAUAGUGUGCAGCUCUAAGCCAAACAGAUUACAGGAAAACAUCAUCCAUUACAGCUGUUGUUGUCUGUUCCUGCUGGGUUGUUGUGGACAGUGGACCUUGGGACCUUUUUCAGAACUUGAUUUGAUUUAAAUCCUGUUUUCUAAAGAAUUUAACGAUUUAAUUCAAGUUUCAUCUAAAAACUGAAAUUCAGUUCCUUCUGAAGGCAACUUUAGAAACCAGUUUUACAGAGAAAACCUCUCAUGUUGGGGAAAAACCAAAAUCAUACACGCUAGUUGAAUUCAUGAACUUUAAAGAAAGGUUUUUAAAAUUUGAAAUCAUUGGCGGACCUUUUUAAGCUGACGAUGGAAAAAGUGGAUCAUAAUGACGAGUUUUAUGCUGCUGGUGUUUGGAUGACUCGGGUUCACGUCUGUUUCCAUCAGAAGUUUUCUGGUGGUGUUGGAAGGACAGGCUUCCUGUCGCUCACUAUCUCUGUUUUAUUACUUUAUUUUUUUAAAUGUACAGAUGAAAAGAUUUAUAUCCAGUGCAGUCUUUUGAUGGCCUACUGAAGAUGAGUGGUUUUAGAGUUAGUGAUAAACUGAUCCAACUACCUGAAAAAUGAAUGAUACCUAGCUCAUACAAGAAAAACAAAAGGGGCCAAGAAUCCAACCUUGAGGGGCACCACAGGUAACUGUUGACAAAGCAGAGCUGGAAGUUCUGAAGGGAAACCAUAAAAGAUUCUACAGCUUAUUUAAGAUCCAAAAGAGUCCAGAACAGGGUUGUUUAUGUUGACCCAGUGUGUAAGGUUAGCAUGUGAUUGGCUGGUCGGUACAGCAGCAAGAUUCUCCCUUAUAUCCAAUAAGAUGAUCAAAGUUAAAAUAAGAUAAAAGUUGUGAUGGUUUGUGAGACACCGCUGAUCUAAAAGCUGUUUAAAUUAUUUUUCUUCAGGAAAAUAUAAACUUUUAAAAUAAAGUUCAUUAAACUUGUUUUAAAUCUUACAGAAACAGCUGGUAACCUUCAUGUCAUCACAAGUGAAGACUUGAUGGGUUAUAAAGUGUUGGAUGAGUUCUCCACAAACAUCAGGGAGCUACAGCUCUCUGCCUGCUGGAGGUUUUCAGAUCUUCUCUGAUGGUGCCACUUUGUGUUUCCUGCCCUGGGUCUGUAAAGAGGCUGAUGAGCCUCUGGAAACAAAUCAGUUCUGAACAUUUACAUGGUGCGUCAGCAUGUUCCACUAUCAGCUUCAUCCCACAUGUUUAUUAAACAACUGGGUGCUCUUUUCCGCUUUGCUCCAUUUCUGCAACAUCUGGAAUAUUGUUCCAUCUGAUCCAUGUUCCCACUGUGUGAUGGUCAAUUCCACAAGCUUCUUGGCCCAGAGAACACCUUCUUUUCUGCUCAGUAACAUCUGUGAAGUUAAUUCUGUAUAGUGGGGCUAGACCAAGGUUCUCCAAAGUAAUGCCUGUUCCAUGGGGUUCUACUAGCUGUUGAUGAAUGAUGGUUCUUGAUGCAGAACUGCCUGAAGGAUCAGAGAUUACUGCUGUCCAGUUGCUCCCUGAAAUUCGUCCAGGUUCCUCAAAUGGUUUCUGGGUAUUCUGCUCUGUAGAGAGAAAAACAUAGUAAUUCCUCCCAGUCUUACUUCCAGGAUCAGUUUCUUUCUUAUUUCCGCCUUUUUCUCUAAUUUUUUGCAUCCUGCAAUACAGGACUGGAUUUGGACAAAUUAAAUGAAUCUGACAAACAAAAGAAAUCUUAUGGUUUUAUUUUAUGUGUCGCGAAGGAAAAGCUGAAGGAAAAUGAGUUCAUGAUAAAAAGCAGCUGAUCUUCUUAUUGUUCCUGCAGACAGAUUGCUGAGUGGACUCCUGGAAAACUGCAGCUGCUUCAUCAGGAUAAAUGAUUAUAAGUUUGUCAGACUCCAAACCAAUAUCUGUAACCAUGGUAACCAGUUCAGCUAAUUUUUUAUAGAAAAACUGUUCAAAUAAAUGGACAUGUUCAUAGUGAAUAUAUGACUGGAUCUCUCUUUGUUUGGUUGUAUCAGGAUAAAAACUGUAAUAAAAAUCUAUCUAUGCAUUAA